UUUCCGUGGCAACCAUGUAUUUGGCUUUAUUUGAAAGCUCUCGAGCUCCCCCACAUCACUGUGGGGUCCAAUGUCACAUGCCGUGCACUUGCACUCACGUGACUGACCCCGACUGGACGUGACCCAUUGACUCCCAUUCAUUCCAAGCAGAUGUAAAUAUGCGGUUUGUGUACAUGACAUGUACAUGUUCG